rnacentral:rRNA from 1 species
CUAAGAAUAUUCCGCAAUGGACGGAAGUCUGACGGAGCGACGCCGCGUGGAUGACGAAGGCCGAAAGGUUGUAAAGUUCUUUUGCUGGGGAAGAAUAACCGCAGGAGGGAAUGCCUGUGGGAUGACAAGAACCGGCGAAUAAGCCCCGGCCAACUACGUGCCAGCAGCCGCGGUAACACGUAGGGGGCGAGCGUUGUUCGGAAUUACUGGGCGUAAAGGGCAUGUAGGCGGCUUGGAAAGCCUGGCGUGAAAGUCUGCAGCUUAACUGCAGGGGUGCGCUGGGAACUGCUGAGCUUGAGUGACGGAGAGGGAGCUGGAAUUCCUGGUGUAGGGGUGAAAUCUGUAGAUAUCAGGAAGAACACCGAUGGCGAAGGCAAGCUCCUGGCCGAUGACUGACGCUGAGGUGCGAAAGUGUGGGGAUCAAAACAGGAUUAGAUACCCUGGUAGUCCACACAGUCAACGAUGUGCACUAGGUGCUGGGGCGGUAGCUUCGGUGCCGGAGCGAACGUGGUAAGUGCACCGCCUGGGGAGUAUGCUCGCAAGGGUGAAACUCAAA